AUGGGGGACUCCACAAGAAUUCUCGAUGAGAAAUGGGCCAGGGAAAUUGCAUUGGUCCUCGUCUCCGUCGUCUUUUUCCGAAUUUUGCACAUUGUGAUCUACCGAUUCUUGUUCGGAGAAUGGAGGUUAGACUGUCACAACUUCUGCAAGCAAACACAUGUUGAUAACGAAGAAACCGUGCCGGUGGCAGAGUCGGAGCCCGGAAAUGCGACAAUGUCUACCCUCAAAAAAUGGCGAAUUUCCAACGAAAGUGUGUCAAUGGUGCACUCGGCAAUCUCAGGAUUCUGGGCCGCCUACGCUUUGAUUGUGGACCCGGAGCUCUUCAAAAGCCCAAUUUUGUACCAUUGCAUUGUUGGCAGGAACCUGGUGCUCAUGAUGACUGGCUACCUGCUCAACGACCUCGUCGACCUCAUCUGCAAUGAACGAUCCGUCAGAAUCGUGGAGCUCCUCUUCCAUCACGUCGUCGUCCUCUCCGCCUUCACUAUUUGCCUGUUCUACGAUCUCAUGCUAGGCAUCGUCGUCGCCGGACUGCUCAUGGAGCUCAACUCGAUCUUCUUGCACAUCAGAAGCUUGAUGAACUUAUAUGGAUUCGACAAGAAGCUCACCGCAUUCCGCGUUACUGUAAUUCUGAACAUCAUCACUCUCGUGGUGUUCAGGCUGAUUGUAAAUGUUUACAUGAUCUACUUUGUGUUCGCAUCGUUCUCGAUGAGCCCAUGGUACAUUGCUUCAACGAUCUGCGUGCUCAUUCUUUGCCUCGCCAGCUCGAAUAUGGUGCUUACCUACCGUCUGUUGGCUGCCGAUGGAUUUUGUGGUAAGCGUUUACAGUAAUCUCUAUGUAAAGUUACAGUAGUCCUACAGUAACCCUCCCAAUUGUACCAUAAUCCUACAGUAACCUUACAGUACCUCGUACAGUAAUAGUCUUAACUCUACAGUACUUCUACAAGGCUUCCUACAGUAGCUAUGUUUACUGUAACAUAACCCUGGAGUAACUUUACAGUACACAUCUACAGUACCCUGGCAGUACCCUUACAGUAGAAGUGUUAACCGUACAGUACUUCUACAGUGCUACUUACAGUAACCGGCAUAACCCUUCAAGACCCGUACAGUAUUCUCCUCGAUGCACCAUAAUAUACUGUACCCCUUCAGUAAUCCCCUACAGUACCCUAAGAGUAAUGCGCUCCAACUGUACAGUACCCUUGCAGUAAAGGUCUCAAGCUCACGGUAUAGUUCUCCCCAUUGUUCUCCCCUACAGUACCCCUACAGUAACCCGUACAGUAUCCUCCUCGAUGCACCAUGGCCUACAGUACCCCUACAGUACCCUCAUAACGUCACCUCUCAUUUUCCAGGCGCAAGCCGUCAGCGACAAGUCCCAGCUAGAGUUGAAACAGAAGUUCCCCCGGAGCAUCAGAAUUUGGUGAAGCAAGUCGUGCAGGGCUCCGACCAAAAUGACGGGAUCAUUGGCUGA